rnacentral:rRNA from 1 species
GAUGAACGCUGGCGGCGUGCCUAAUACAUGCAAGUCGAGCGAACAGAUGAGGAGCUUGCUCCUCUGACGUUAGCGGCGGACGUGUGAGUAACACGUGGAUAACCUACCUAUAAGACUGGGAUAACUUCGGGAAACCGGAGCUAAUACCGGAUAAUAUAUUGAACCGCAUGGUUCAAUAGUGAAAGACGGUUUUGCUGUCACUUAUAGAUGGAUCCGCGCCGCAUUAGCUAGUUGGUAAGGUAACGGCUUACCAAGGCAACGAUGCGUAGCCGACCUGAGAGGGUGAUCGGCCACACUGGAACUGAGACACGGUCCAGACGACUACGGGAGGGAGCAGUAGGGAAUCUGCCGCAAUGGGCGAAAGCAUGACGGAGCAGCGCCGCGUGAGUGAUGAAGGUCUUCGGAUCGUAAAACUCUGUUAUUAGGGAAGAACAAAUGUGUAAGUAACUAUGCACGGCUUGACGGUACCUAAUCAGAAAGCCACGGCUAACUACGUG